CGGGUGAGUAACACGUGAGUAACCUGCCCCUGACUCUGGGAUAAGCCCGGGAAACUGGGUCUAAUACCGGAUAUGACUUUUGACCGCAUGGUUGAGGGUGGAAAGAUUUAUCGGUUGGGGAUGGACUCGCGGCCUAUCAGCUUGUUGGUGAGGUAAUGGCUCACCAAGGCGACGACGGGUAGCCGGCCUGAGAGGGUGACCGGCCACACUGGGACUGAGACACGGCCCAGACUCCUACGGGAGGCAGCAGUGGGGAAUAUUGCACAAUGGGCGCAAGCCUGAUGCAGCGACGCCGCGUGAGGGAUGACGGCCUUCGGGUUGUAAACCUCUUUCAGUAGGGAAGAAGCGAGAGUGACGGUACCUGCAGAAGAAGCGCCGGCUAACUACGUGCCAGCAGCCGCGGUAAUACGUAGGGCGCAAGCGUUAUCCGGAUUUAUUGGGCGUAAAGAGCUCGUAGGCGGUUUGUCGCGUCUAUCGUGAAAGUCCGAGGCUCAACCUCGGAUCUGCGGUGGGUACGGGCAGACUAGAGUGAUGUAGGGGAGACUGGAAUUCCUGGUGUAGCGGUGAAAUGCGCAGAUAUCAGGAGGAACACCGAUGGCGAAGGCAGGUCUCUGGGCAUUUACUGACGCUGAGGAGCGAAAGCAUGGGGAG
rnacentral:rRNA from 1 species